rnacentral:rRNA from 1 species
UGAGAUGGCCUCGCGUCCGAUUAGCUGGUUGGUGAGGUAACGGCCCACCAAGGCGACGAUCGGUAGCCGGACUGAGAGGUUGAACGGCCACAUUGGGACUGAGACACGGCCCAGACUCCUACGGGAGGCAGCAGUGGGGAAUAUUGCACAAUGGGGGAAACCCUGAUGCAGCGACGCCGCGUGGAGGAAGAAGGUCUUCGGAUUGUAAACUCCUGUUGUUGGGGAAAAGAAGGAUGGUACCCAACAAGGAAGUGACGGCUAACUACGUGCCAGCAGCCGCGGUAAAACGUAGGUCACGAGCGUUGUCCGGAAUUACUGGGUGUAAAGGGAGCGCAGGCGGGUAUGCAAGUUGGGAGUGAAAUACAUGGGCUCAACCCAUGAACUGCUCUCAAAACUGUGUAUCUUGAGUAGUGCAGAGGUAGGCGGAAUUCCCGGUGUAGCGGUGGAAUGCGUAGAUAUCGGGAGGAACACCAGUGGCGAAGGCGGCCUACUGGGCACCAACUGACGCUGAGGCUCGAAAGUGUGGGUAGCAAACAGGAUUAGAUACCCUGGUAGUCCACACCGUAAACGAUGAUUACUAGGUGUUGGAGGAUAGACCCCUUCAGUGCCGCAG